rnacentral:rRNA from 1 species
CAAUAGCGUAUAUUAAAGUUGUUGCAGUUAAAAAGCUCGUAGUUGGAUUUCUGCUGAGGACGAUCGGUCCGCCCACUGGGUGAGUAUCUGGCUCGGCCUUGGCAUCUUCUUGGAGAACGUUGCUGCACUUGACUGUGUGGCGCGGUAUCCAGGACUUUUACUUUGAGGAAAUUAGAGUGUUUCAAGCAGGCGCACGCCUUGAAUACAUUAGCAUGGAAUAAUGAGAUAGGACCUUGGUUCUAUUUUGUUGGUUUCUAGGGCUGAGGUAAUGAUUAAUAGGGAUAGUUGGGGGCAUUCGUAUUUAACUGUCAGAGGUGAAAUUCUUGGAUUUGUUAAAGAUGGACUACUGCGAAAGCAUUUGCCAAGGAUGUUUUCAUUGA